rnacentral:rRNA from 1 species
GGACGAACGCUGGCGGCGUGCUUAACACAUGCAAGUCGAGCGGAAAGGCCCUUCGGGGUACUCGAGCGGCGAACGGGUGAGUAACACGUGAGUAACCUGCCCUAGACUUUGGGAUAACCCUCGGAAACGGGGGCUAAUACCGGAUACUCCUUGACUAUCGCAUGGUGGUCUCGGGAAAGUUUUUCGGUCUGGGAUGGACUCGCGGCCUAUCAGCUUGUUGGUGGGGUAAUGGCCUACCAAGGCGACGACGGGUAGCCGGCCUGAGAGGGCGACCGGCCACACUGGGACUGAGACACGGCCCAGACUCCUACGGGAGGCAGCAGUGGGGAAUAUUGCACAAUGGGCGGAAGCCUGAUGCAGCGACGCCGCGUGAGGGAUGACGGCCUUCGGGUUGUAAACCUCUUUCAGCAGGGACGAAGCGCAAGUGACGGUACCUGCAGAAGAAGCGCCGGCCAACUACGUGCCAGCAGCCGCGGUAAGACGUAGGGCGCGAGCGUUGUCCGGAUUUAUUGGGCGUAAAGAGCUCGUAGGCGGCUUGUCGCGUCGAAUGUGAAAUCCCGUGGCUCAACUGCGGGUCUGCAUUCGAUACGGGCAGGCUAGAGUUCGGUAGGGGAGACUGGAAUUCCUGGUGUAGCGGUGAAAUGCGCAGAUAUCAGGAGGAACACCGGUGGCGAAGGCGGGUCUCUGGGCCGAUACUGACGCUGAGGAGCGAAAGCGUGGGGAGCGAACAGGAUUAGAUACCCUGGUAGUCCACGCUGUAAACGUUGGGCGCUAGGUGUGGGGGACCUCUCCGGUCUUCUGCGCCGCAGCUAACG